rnacentral:rRNA from 1 species
CCUACGGGAGGCAGCAGUGGGGAAUAUUGCGCAAUGGGCGAAAGCCUGACGCAGCGACGCCGCGUGAGGGAUGAAGGUCUUCGGAUCGUAAACCUCUGUCAGCAGGGAAGAACGGUCACUGUGCUAAUCAGCAGUGAAUUGACGGUACCUGCAAAGGAAGCACCGGCUAACUCCGUGCCAGCAGCCGCGGUAAUACGGAGGGUGCGAGCGUUAAUCGGAAUUACUGGGCGUAAAGCGCUCGUAGGCGGUAUGUCAAGUCAAGGGUGAAAUCCCCGCGCUCAACGUGGGAACUGCCUGUGAAACUGGCAAACUGGAGUGUGUGAGAGGAUAGUGGAAUUCCAGGUGUAGGAGUGAAAGCCGUAGAUAUCUGGAGGAAAAUCAGUGGCGAAGGCGACUAUCUGGCACAUAACUGACGCUGAGGAGCGAAAGCGUGGGUAGCAAACAGGAUUAGAUACCCUAGUAGUC